AACAGUACAUUCGAUGUGCAAAAAUAGUCUCCGUGGCUAUAAUCAUAACACGCUGAGAGGGAUCAAUUCUUAAGUCUCCCAACUUUGAUCAUCCACUUCCACCUACAGUGAACAGCUUAAUACACGUAGCCCUUGACGAACAUUCCUUUCUUGGCCUCCUCGGACUCGCCCUCACCUGUGUAUUUGCCAAGCUGAGCAAGAGAGUUGGCCUUGGCGCGGACAAGCAAGGUUUCCUGGGCUGGCUUCACGUUCUCGGGUCUUCCUCCCCAUGUCUUCAAGCAGGUGUUCUGGAGGGCUCGGGCAUAUGAGAAAGAUACGUGCCACGGGUUUGGCGAUUGGUUCAUGGCAUUCAAGUUCAGGGUGGCUUCAACUUCAGAUUGUCCACCAGACAAGAACUACUCAUAUGAGGAAGAUUGCUAUCAUUAGAAUAAGCGAAGAACAAGAAGAAUACAACCGAAAAACUAAACAAACCAGAGCAAACAGAAUCGAGUCAUAGUUCACAGUUAAAAGUAAGGGAUUGGUAGUGAGACUCGCCAUG
rnacentral:lncRNA from 1 species